rnacentral:rRNA from 1 species
CAGCAGCCGCGGUAAUACGAAGGGGGCUAGCGUUGCUCGGAAUUACUGGGCGUAAAGGGAGCGUAGGCGGGUCGUUAAGUUGGGGGUGAAAGCCCGGGGCUCAACCUCGGAACUGCCUUCAAUACUGGCGAUCUUGAGUAUGAGAGAGGUGUGUGGAACUCCGAGUGUAGAGGUGAAAUUCGUAGAUAUUCGGAAGAACACCAGUGGCGAAGGCGACACACUGGCUCAUUACUGACGCUGAGGCUCGAAAGCGUGGGGAGCAAACAGGAUUAGAUACCCCUGUAGUCCCUGUCUCUUAUAC